rnacentral:tRNA from 1 species
GGAGUGGCUGUGGCUCAGUGGAAGAGUUUAUGCUUUGAACGCCAAAGGUCCCAGGUUCAAUCUCUGGUAUCUCCA